rnacentral:lncRNA from 10 species
AGUGCCUAUUUUGCAGGCAAAACGUCUUCCCUUCUCUCCCUGGUGCUGCGUUCAGCACAGAACAACCGCAUUUGGCAGCUUCACUCCGACAGAGGCCAGUGGCUCCUUAGAGAGCUGAGGUGUUCCGGAGGCGCGUGCACCAAGCUUCUGCUAUUCACGCUCCUUGGUUCCUCGGAAAGAGAGCGUUCGGUUGGAGGAAUCAGUGUGCUUUUUGCUUAUUGACAGCCUUUCUUCUCUUCUGAAUCACUAUUUGAACUGAAGGUCAUUGGAAGACAUGCUUUUGGGAGGGAUAUUUGUUUGGAAAAACAGACAUAGCUCAAACCCUGCAGGCUCUCUGAAUCUUUUGGUCUUUGAUGAGCGGGUGGCCUGCCAGGCAGCGGGUGUUCUGGCUGCUGUGUUUGUGCCAUUUGUAUUUGAUCAGCUGCUGGGGCACUUCUCCCUCUGACUGUGUGUGCGUGGGGCAGCUCGAUUGCUGUUUGGUGUGCCGGGCUCAUGGUCUCUUGCCCUCUUGUCUUCUUUUUAUAAGCAAUUAGAUAAUCAGAGAGGAUAGACGGAUAGACUCCUCCCCUGAAAAGCUGGCUGUGUUCCCAGGCAUCGGGUGAAAGGCUUGUCUUUGGCUGCCGACCCCCACCCCCCACCCCUUCCUGACUCUUCCCUUUGCUUCUCCCCAGCACAUAUGGAUCUUCUCAGGAGGCCCUUCUCACCCAGGACAAACAUAAUCUAAAUAAGAAAACCCACAUCCCUUGACGGCUCUGGUGCUAUAGAAUUCAUACUUUUAUCUUUGCCAUCUGUCUUACCUCUCAGGGUCUCAGUUUCAUCAUCCAUAAAAUAGGAAUAAUAGUAACAAUAACCACUUCUUAGGGAUGUUAUGCUGAUUUAAUAAGAUAGUGUAAGGAAAGGGCUUAGAAAAGAGUAAGCCCCCACUAAAUGCUGGCUGAUCACAUUAUCAGCGAAAGCAGUGCACCCCAGGAAGGCUUUCAGUCUCAAAGUGGACUGCUGCAGAGACAUGGCCCCUUGAUCUCUAUCUCUGCUGGCGGGGCUGCAGGCCUUAGGUCAGAGGCCAUGUUGAGGAGGGGGACAGAAUCCCUGUCCUGCCACCCUCUUAAAACACCGCACACCUGGCCUCGCAGAGAGAGGGACAUUGAAAAAGAGAUUGUGAAUAUAAAUUGCAGGUCAGGUGUUCCCCCAAUAUUUAGUGUCCAUCCAAGUAAUUGGGAGUUUUUUUUUUUUUUUAAAUAGAAAGGCACAAACUCCUGGCCACAACCCCUGCUGCAGACGGAGGGAGUCUGGGGCCCCAGGAGGAUCCGGAUGCUGGUGCUGUCGGCUGUGGAGAGAAAAGACAUGCUUGAGGAGAACUGUGCCCUGUCUAUGGCUCAGCCUUCCAGGGUAUCUAAUUCUGGUUCUAAGGGAACUGUUUCACAACUUGCUAAGGUGCAGACAACUGACAGCAAUGCAGAGAGAUGACUCCAUUGCAGCCAGGUAUAGCUCUGUAAGUCUUAUGAACCACAAUGCCACCUGUUGAUUGGAAAAGGGUGAUCAUGGGAGAGGGGAGGCUCAUUUUAAGCGGUAUCUCCAGGCUUCCACAGAGAAAUGUCACCUUUCCGUGUGUUGAGUAAGCCUAUGAGAAGCCAGUCAUGUAUGAUGAUAUUUGUAACAUUGAGAAGAUGAAACAUCCUACUGCUAUCAACCAAUGACUGGCUGGAACAGCUGGAGUG